GCGGUGCUAUAUGGUCCCAUUUAAUGAUAUAUCCCUAACAUGCCUGCUUGAGGUGGUGCAGAAAGCCUGGGCCGAAGGAAGUCAGAUCUGAAGGGCUACAGGAAAGGAGGAGGGAGAGAAACAUCUCCUGUGCUCACCAAGACCCCCAGACACUGGGGCCAGCCGCAAAUUCCUUCCAGUUUGUAAAAACGCGGUUUGGUGACAGGCACUGAAAGAGAGUGAGACAUCACAAGGGGUGACAGUGCAGCUCUGACAACACAAAUGAAAUGAGAAAGGCAGUCAGCCCAGGCUGGCUCCUUUGGAAUUCCAGAGAAUUCCCGACGCUGAUUUCGUCCAUGUUCGAAUUCGUUUAGCACUCCUUUCCAACGACCUCUCUGUGGGCCAGGACAUGUUCACUCCUCUCCAGGACGUCCGGCUAUUCGGAGAAGGCCUCACGGAAGGAAAGAAAGUACACCGCACGAUGACCCACGCGGGAGCCAGAAACCGCUCUCCCCUCUCUCGCGGAAUCCUCCGGAGCUUCCCUCCCACCGGCUCGGCGCAAACCGUCGCUGGGCUUCCCCCUACUUGUGAAGCAACCCUGUCUCCUCAGCAGAGCAGGACCUGUUUGACGAAUGGUGGCAGAGGGCUGAGGGGGAAGUGGAUUUUGAUCGCCUUGAUUGCAAGAAUCCAGACGUUUAAAGACUUGGAUAACAUUCAGAUUCUGAAUCACCAGAGCAUCCUCCAAAGAGAAGAGUAGGCUCCACUGGAGAGUCCAGUACUUUACAGCCACCGGAUUUGAACCAUCAGAAGAAAGAAUGGGUACCUUCACCAUCAAGAGAAAAUUCUUCCUGCAAGGAAAUGUCAAAGCUCAAAGGGUCAUUGCACUUUGAGAUGGCUUUGUUUGUAGAACUUCCAGUUUCGUACUUCUUACAAUGUACUGUGGCUUCUCAGAGACAAUGGUCCGUGGUGGCAGCCAGGCUGACGGCCAGGAUUUGAGUCUGAACGCAGCUCAUGCUCUCCGCCACAUUCCAUUUGUUCAAGUAACUUUUCCAGGGCUAUGCAGUCAGACCAAUUAUCUUAGAAACAAGCAAUUAUAACCACAUUCACAGCUCCCUAAAAGGGUGAGCGCAUUCCAGUAACAAUUUCUCAUGAAAGAAAACAGUAAUUGAAAGAUUGGCAAGGCUAUUGCAAUAGACUAAGACCUCUGGAAAGACAUUUAAUAGCACAAGUGUGUGCCUACACACACAUACACAAGUCUGCUUGCUUUCCCACUAGAGGAAUUUGUCCUUUCCACCUAAAUCCAUUAGCUUUUUUGUGGAUGGGGGAGGGUAAAUAUAGGCAAUAGGAAACAAAACAGAUAAAGCUAAGGUUGGCAUUCUGAGUUCUGAUCAUGCAUUGUUCUUUAGUAUCUGUGUCUGUUCAUCCCUGGCUUACAUACUGUUGAAGGGAAGUCACAACAAAAUAUUUGCAAAAUAUUAUUCCUGAGAUAAUACUUCUGGAAGUACUCUAGAAAAGGUAAAGGGUUCUAAACAACU
rnacentral:lncRNA from 1 species